rnacentral:rRNA from 1 species
UCCACGCAGUAAACGAUGAAUGUUAGUCGUUGGUGUCCUAGAGACAUCAGUGAUGCAGUUAACACAUUAAACAUUCCGCNUGGGGAGUACGGUCGCAAGAUUAAAACUCAAAGGAAUAGACGGGGACCCGCACAAGUGGUGGAGCAUGUGGUUUAAUUCGAAGAUACGCGAAGAACCUUACCUAGCCUUGACAUAUUAUAGAAGACACCAGAGAUGGAGUUGUGCCUUCGGGAGCUAUAUUACAGGUGCUGCACGGCUGUCGUCAGCUCGUGUCGUGAGAUGUUGGGUUAAGUCCCGCAACGAGCGCAACCCUCGUCACUAGUUACUAACGAUUCGGUCGAGGACUCUAGUGAGGCUGCCUUCGUAAGGAGGAGGAAGGUGAGGACGACGUCAAGUCAUCAUGGCCCUUACGGCUAGGGCAACACACGUGCUACAAUGGUUAGGACAAUGAGAGGCGAUACCGCGAGGUGGAGCAAAUCUAUAAACCUAAUCUCAGUUCGGAUUGUAGUCUGCAACUCGACUACAUGAAGCUGGAAUCACUAGUAAUCGUAGAUCAGCUAUGCUACGGUGAAUACGUUCCCGGGUCUUGUACUCACCGCCCGUCACACCAUGGGAGUUGAUUUCACCCGAAGCGGGGAAGCUAAACUGGCUACCCUCCACGGUGGAAUUAGCGACUGGGGUGAAGUCGUAACAAGGUA